rnacentral:rRNA from 1 species
GUGGGGAAUAUUGGACAAUGGGCGCAAGCCUGAUCCAGCCAUGCCGCGUGAGUGAUGAAGGCCCUAGGGUUGUAAAGCUCUUUCACCGAUGAAGAUAAUGACGGUAGUCGGAGAAGAAGCCCCGGCUAACUUCGUGCCAGCAGCCGCGGUAAUACGAAGGGGGCUAGCGUUGUUCGGAAUUACUGGGCGUAAAGCGCACGUAGGCGGAUAUUUAAGUCAGGGGUGAAAUCCCAGAGCUCAACUCUGGAACUGCCUUUGAUACUGGGUAUCUCGAGUAUGGAAGAGGUGAGUGGAAUUCCGAGUGUAGAGGUGAAAUUCGUAGAUAUUCGGAGGAACACCAGUGGCGAAGGCGGCUCACUGGUCCAUUACUGACGCUGAGGUGCGAAAGCGUGGGGAGCAAACAGGAUUAGAUACCCUUGUAGUCC